CGGAGGGUGCAAGCGUUAUCCGGAAUCACUGGGUUUAAAGGGUGCGUAGGCGGUUUUAUAAGUCAGGGGUGAAAGCAUGCAGCUUAACUGUAUAAUUGCCUUUGAUACUGUAGGACUUGAAUAAGGUUGAGGUUGGCGGAAUGUGACAUGUAGCGGUGAAAUGCUUAGAUAUGUCAUAGAACACCGAUUGCGAAGGCAGCUGACUGGGCCUUUAUGACGCUGAGGCACGAAAGCGUGGGAGCGAACAGGAUU
rnacentral:rRNA from 1 species